GACAAGCGCUGGCCGACUAAGAUGGCCACGUCCUGUGGCAACGUCGGCACUAACAUCCUGUCCG
rnacentral:sRNA from 1 species